rnacentral:rRNA from 1 species
AACAGGAUUAGAUACCCUGGUAGUCCACGCCCUAAACGAUGCGAACUGGAUGUUGGGUGCAACUUGGCACGCAGUAUCGAAGCUAACGCGUUAAGUUCGCCGCCUGGGGAGUACGGUCGCAAGACUGAAACUCAAAGGAAUUGACGGGGGCCCGCACAAGCGGUGGAGCAUGUGGUUUAAUUCGAUGCAACGCGAAGAACCUUACCUACUCUUGACAUCCACGGAAUUCGGCAGAGAUGCCUUAGUGCCUUCGGGAACCGUGAGACAGGUGCUGCAUGGCUGUCGUCAGCUCGUGUUGUGAAAUGUUGGGUUAAGUCCCGCAACGAGCGCAACCCUUAUCCUUUGUUGCCAGCGAUUCGGUCGGGAACUCAAAGGAGACUGCCGGUGAUAAACCGGAGGAAGGUGGGGAUGACGUCAAGUCAUCAUGGCCCUUACGAGUAGGGCUACACACGUGCUACAAUGGCGCAUACAAAGAGAAGCGACCUCGCGAGAGCAAGCGGACCUCAUAAAGUGCGUCGUAGUCCGGAUCGGAGUCUGCAACUCGACUCCGUGAAGUCGGAAUCGCUAGUAAUCGUGGAUCAGAAUGCCACGGUGAAUACGUUCCCGGGCCUUGUACACACCGCCCGUCACACCAUGGGAGUGGGUUGCAAAAGAAGUAGGUAGCUUAACCUCCGGGAGGGCGCUUACCACUUUGUGAUUCAUGACUGGGGUGAAGUCGUAACAAGGUA